rnacentral:rRNA from 1 species
GACGAACGCUGGCGGCGUGCCUAAUACAUGCAAGUUGAGCGCUGAAGGUUGGUACUUGUACCAACUGGAUGAGCAGCGAACGGGUGAGUAACGCGUGGGGAAUCUGCCUUUGAGCGGGGGACAACAUUUGGAAACGAAUGCUAAUACCGCAUAAAAACUUUAAACACAAGUUUUAAGUUUGAAAGAUGCAAUUGCAUCACUCAAAGAUGAUCCCGCGUUGUAUUAGCUAGUUGGUGAGGUAAAGGCUCACCAAGGCGAUGAUACAUAGCCGACCUGAGAGGGUGAUCGGCCACAUUGGGACUGAGACACGGCCCAAACUCCUACGGGAGGCAGCAGUAGGGAAUCUUCGGCAAUGGACGAAAGUCUGACCGAGCAACGCCGCGUGAGUGAAGAAGGUUUUCGGAUCGUAAAACUCUGUUGGUAGAGAAGAACGUUGGUGAGAGUGGAAAGCUCAUCAAGUGACGGUAACUACCCAGAAAGGGACGGCUAACUACGUGCCAGCCGCCGCCGUAAGAC